UGGGGAAUAUUGGACAAUGGGGGCAACCCUGAUCCAGCAAUGCCGCGUGUGUGAAGAAGGUCUUCGGAUUGUAAAGCACUUUCGACGGGGACGACGAUGACGGUACCCGUAGAAGAAGCCCCGGCUAACUUCGUGCCAGCAGCCGCGGUAAUACGAAGGGGGCUAGCGUUGCUCGGAAUGACUGGGCGUAAAGGGCGUGUAGGCGGUUUACACAGUCAGAUGUGAAAUCCCCGGGCUUAACCUGGGAGCUGCAUUUGAUACGUGUAGACUAGAGUGUGAGAGAGGGUUGUGGAAUUCCCAGUGUAGAGGUGAAAUUCGUAGAUAUUGGGAAGAACACCGGUGGCGAAGGCGGCAACCUGGCUCAUGACUGACGCUGAGGCGCGAAAGCGUGGGGAGCAAACAGGAUUAGAUACCCUGGUAGUCCACGCUGUAAACGAUGUGUGCCAGAUGUUGGGUA
rnacentral:rRNA from 1 species